rnacentral:rRNA from 1 species
UUAAGUGACUAAGCGUACAAGGUGGAUGCCUUGGCAAUCAGAGGCGACGAAGGACGUGCUAAUCUGCGAAAAGCUUGGAUGAGUCGAUAAGAGGCGUUUAAUCCAAGAUGUCCGAAUGGGGAAACCCAGUAGAUGAAGAAUCUACUAUCACUUACUGAAUCCAUAGGUAAGUGAGGCAAACCGGGAGAACUGAAACAUCUAAGUACCCCGAGGAAAAGAAAUCAACCGAGAUUUCGUUAGUAGCGGCGAGCGAACGCGAAGGAGCCUGUUAGUGAUAAUGACAGAGACAGAGGAACAAGCUGGGAAGCUUGGCGAUACAGGGUGAUAGCCCCGUACUCGAAGUCCAGGUCAUGGUACUAAGCUAACGACAAGUAGGGCGGGACACGUGAUAUCCUGUUUGAAGAUGGGGGGACCAUCCUCCAAGGCUAAAUACUCCUGAUUGACCGAUAGUGAACCAGUACUGUGAAGGAAAGGCGAAAAGAACCCCGGUGAGGGGAGUGAAAUAGAACCUGAAACCUUGUACGUACAAGCAGUGGGAGCCCUUUAAGGGUGACUGCGUACCUUUUGUAUAAUGGGUCAGCGACUUAUAUUUUGUAGCGAGGUUAACCGAAUAGGGGAGCCGAAGGGAAACCGAGUCUUAACUGGGCGUCUAGUUGCAAGGUAUAGACCCGAAACCCGGUGAUCUAGCCAUGGGCAGGUUGAAGGUUGGGUAACACUAACUGGAGGACCGAACCGACUAAUGUUGAAAAAUUAGCGGAUGACUUGUGGCUGGGGGUGAAAGGCCAAUCAAACCGGGAGAUAGCUGGUUCUCCCCGAAAUCUAUUUAGGUAGAGCCUUGAGCGGACACCUUCGGGGGUAGAGCACUGUUUCGGCUAGGGGUCCAUCCCGGAUUACCAACCCGAUGCAAACUACGAAUACCGAAGAGUGAUACUCAGGAGACACACGGCGGGUGCUAACGUCCGUCGUGGAGAGGGAAACAACCCAGACCGCCAGCUAAGGUCCCAAAGUCUAUAUUAAGUGGGAAACGAAGUGGGAAGGCUUAGACAGCUAGGAUGUUGGCUUAGAAGCAGCCAUCAUUUAAAGAAAGCGUAAUAGCUCACUAGUCGAGUCGGCCUGCGCGGAAGAUGUAACGGGGCUCAAAUAUAGCACCGAAGCUGCGGCAUCAGACGAAAGUCUGUUGGGUAGGGGAGCGUUCUGUAAGCGGAUGAAGGUGGCUCGAGAGGGUUGCUGGACGUAUCAGAAGUGCGAAUGCUGACAUAAGUAACGAUAAAACGGGUGAAAAACCCGUUCGCCGGAAGACCAAGGGUUCCUGUCCAACGUUAAUCGGGGCAGGGUGAGUCGGCCCCUAAGGCGAGGCUGAAAAGCGUAGUCGAUGGGAAACGGGUUAAUAUUCCCGUACUUGGGUAAACUGCGAUGUGGGGACGGAGCAGGUUAGGUUAUCGCACUGUUGGAUAUGUGCGUUUAAGUUGGUAGGUGUGAAGUUUAGGCAAAUCCGGACUUCUUUAACACUGAGAGAUGAUGACGAGGCUCUACGGAGCUGAAGUAACCGAUACCACACUUCCAGGAAAAGCCACUAAGCUUCAGGUUUAUCUAAACCGUACUGAAAACCGACACAGGUGGUCAGGUAGAGAAUACUCAGGCGCUUGAGAGAACUCGGGUGAAGGAACUAGGCAAAAUAGCACCGUAACUUCGGGAGAAGGUGCGCCGGCGUAGAUUGUAGUCCCUUGCGGGCGAAGGUUGAACCGGUCGAAGAUACCAGCUGGCUGCAACUGUUUAUUAAAAACACAGCACUCUGCAAACACGAAAGUGGACGUAUAGGGUGUGAUGCCUGCCCGGUGCUGGAAGGUUAAUUGAUGGUGUAAUCGAAAGAGAAGCUCCUGAUCGAAGCCCCAGUAAACGGCGGCCGUAACUAUAACGGUCCUAAGGUAGCGAAAUUCCUUGUC